AAGUCGUACAAGGUUUCCGUAGGUGAACCUGCGGAAGGAUCAUUC
rnacentral:rRNA from 1 species